GACCCGAUAACAAGCAGAGGAGAAAGUCGAAGUCUUAUUGUCUCGGGGAAGACUUCAGACAUCCUUGUCGGAGGCAGACAUCCUUGUCGGAAGCAGAGGAGGACGUCGAACUCGUGGCUGGACGUAUUGGGAUUGAAGUGCAGGAGGUGCUUUCAAAGGUCUACAACGUUGAAUACGAAAGCCUCAACCUGAUUUGCUUUGGCUGUGGAAGCGGUUCAGGAUGGCAAAUGGAUACCUUAUGAGGGUCAGCUCUAGCGGACCAUGUAGUUCCCAUUUAAUGUUUGCGAGGCGGACGACCUUCUUCUGUCUGCGGAGGUCACACAUGCACAAAUGGAGGUUAUCUCUUCUGUUUUGGACAGAUUAUGUGCUCGUUCAGGGCAACAGGUAAAUCCUAACAAGUCGGUUCUAUUCUUCUCCCGGAAUUUUCCCUCAACCACUUGAGACAGCAUUCAUCAGAUUUGUGACUUAAGUAUACCCCUUAUUCAAGGGAAAAUCCAACCUGUGCACUUCCAGCAAGUGAUUGAUUGAGUUCGUAAUCGUCUCAAUGGUUGGACGGCCUCUCGACUUUCAAUUGCAGGUAGGGUCACGCUCGUCCGUGGUAUCACAAACAAUUCCCUCCUGUUCCAUGCGGCAGCAUAUUUGUUCGAGUUAGAACAAGCAUGCCAGAAUUUUGUAUGGGGUCACAUGGCAGAUCGGAGGAAAGUGCAUCUCAUCGGCCGGGCACCUUUAAUGAUGCCCUUCUAGACAAUGGGGUCUUCUUACUCGCCCUAAUGACAUCCGGGCACGGGUAUCGUAUUACGAGGGAAUUAUACAGCUAGAGCCCUUCCUCUGUUCAAAUCUACAGCUUCUUCAAGUGACUCAUUGCUAUAGAAAUCGAUUACUUGAGCUUGGAAUUCAGUUAGCCAUGGGAUCGGUUGGGCAUCAGGGAACAGACCCGUAGUUCAUUUUUAGGAUGAUGAGUGGAUUUCCCGGCUGCUAGAGUCUUCUCGAGCACGCCACAGGUCAGAUCCUGGCCACGCUGAUUGACCGACCAGUAGCUGAUGUUGUUUCCCGCUCAUGACAGUGGUCAUGGUAGCCCUUCAACCAAUAUCUCGAUCAUUCUACUGUUCUGAAUAUUGCUUCCGUGAAAAUUCCACUGCCUUCUGAUGGAAUCGAUUUUUUCUUUUGGAGGCCGGAAAUCUCAGGUAACUUCUCUGUGGCAUCAGCAUAUCAAAUUCUAACAGGAAAUGCUUGGGCCGUGCACAAACCGUGCAAAUGCCUGGAUCCGCACGCAUGAGGCUAUUUCUGUGGCUUGCUGCACAUGAUAGACCCGGUCACCAAGUCACUCCGAGUAAGUUGAUCAUUAGCUUCUGAUAACCGCUGCCCUGAUAGACGAAGCUUCCAGUAUUUCUAGAGUUUCGGAGGGGUUCAACAAAGCAGAGGAUUCAAUGCGCAUUCUCAUUAUAGAGUUGGGUGCUCAGGACCCUCCUUAGGAGAUUCGUGGACUUCAAGGUUCGCCACACUUUCCGUGAAGCAAAUAUGGUCGCGGAUUUUCUUGCCAAAGCUUAUCGUGACGACUUCUUUACUUAUCACAAUGUAGUGUAUUUUGAUUCCCCACCUCCUGAGACUCGGGAUAUUGUGUAUGCUGAUGUAACUGGUGUUGUUACCCCUCGACUCACUAAUCGUAACCGAGAGCCUCCGGCAACUCGUUAUUAAUAAAUAUAUUAGACUCCUUUUCUACAAAAAA